rnacentral:rRNA from 1 species
AUUGAACGCUGGCGGCAGGCCUAACACAUGCAAGUCGAACGGUAACAGGAAGCAGCUUGCUGCUUCGCUGACGAGUGGCGGACGGGUGAGUAAUGUCUGGGAAACUGCCUGAUGGAGGGGGAUAACUACUGGAAACGGUAGCUAAUACCGCAUAACGUCGCAAGACCAAAGAGGGGGACCUUAGGGCCUCUUGCCAUCGGAUGUGCCCAGAUGGGAUUAGCUAGUAGGUGGGGUAACGGCUCACCUAGGCGACGAUCCCUAGCUGGUCUGAGAGGAUGACUAGCUACACGGGAACUGAGACACGGCACCGACUCCGACGGGAGGCCGCAGUCGGGAAUAUUGCGCAAUGGGCGCAAGCCGGAUGCAGCAAUGCCGCGUGUAUGAAGAUGGCCUUCGGGUUGUAAAGUACUUUAAGCGGGGAGGAAGGGAGUAAAGUUAAUACCUUUGCUCAUUGACGGUACCCGCAGAAGAAGCUCCGGCUAACUCCGUG